rnacentral:lncRNA from 1 species
CAAAUUAACAUUUUGUGCCACCUUCUGACCUUUCUUUGGUUUUUUUUACUCCCAAAAGGGCAAGAAGUGUAAUACUUUCGACUGUAAUGGGGCGCAGUGUUACAAAACCAGUAAUCUUGGCAGUAAUGUCAUGCUGUGUCCAGUUGGUCGAGACUACUGCAAGCUACAAAAGACAACAUCUGGCAGUACAGAGAGCUGGCAGGCGGGUUGCAGUACAGAUUGCAGGAAGAUGACAGUUUGUUCAAGCACCACUACUACCUGCCACUUGGAGUGCUGCAAUGCCACUACCACCUCAUGCCUCAAACUGUCAGGUGUAGUGAACAUGCCUAGCUCCGCCACCAGGGGUCCUCACUGUCCCGCACUGCUCAUGGCCUCCUUGCUGCUCUUCUGGAUAGUCAAAGUCUUUCCUUGAGUGUAACAAAGUCACAUUUAAUAAGCAAUCCAGGGAAGCACCGUUUUCUGUUAGGAGAGUGUGUGUGUGUGUUUUAAAGCUGAUUGUACUUCUUCUUCUGUCACUUUUACAUUAUUUGUGAUGUAAGCAAAUGAAAGUGUGUGUGUGUGUGUGUGUGUGUGUGUGUGUGUGUGUGUGAGUGUGUGUGUCGGUGUGUGUGUGUGUAAGGUCAGUGUGAGAAGCAGAAUGUGCAUGUGUGUGUAUAUAUAUAUUUAUGUAUAGAUGCCAAAUAAGCUUUACCAUGGGCAUCCGUAGAGAGUUAUGUCAAGUGGAAACAUACCUGUUGUUGGAUUCAUUUCACAGAGAUAGACAGAAAUGAUCCACCAAGAAAUAUAUUAACACUGCAGAGACAAAUAUGAGGUUAGCUUCCUCUCAAGAGUUGUGAUUAAUUAUUGCUCUUUUUGGCAUUAAUGUACACUGUAAGAAAAAGAAAAUCCGUAGAAAAUGCAUGUUGUCUUGGCAGAAAAUUACCAGUAUCACUGUCGUUACGUUUAUGGACAUUUCCUUCAACCUUAAAAUAUAAUGCACAAUUAAAAAUCCUGGAAAAACACCUGUGAAAAAUUAAUAAAUAUUAACAUGGCACAUUGGGCUGUUUUUUUAAUGGACUUUUCUUACAGUGUACAUAUGUUUGAAUUUUGAUUACAGUCAAUCAUAGUUAUCUGAG